rnacentral:rRNA from 1 species
GAUGAACGCUGGCUACAGGCUUAACACAUGCAAGUCGAGGGGAAACGACGGGGAAGCUUGCUUCCCCGGGCGUCGACCGGCGCACGGGUGAGUAACGCGUAUCCAACCUGCCUCUGACUGAGGGAUAACCCGUCGAAAGUCGGCCUAAUACCUCAUGGCAUCGUCUGCGGGCAUCCAACGACGAUUAAAGAUUUCAUCGGUCAGAGAUGGGGAUGCGUCUGAUUAGCUUGUGGGCGGGGUAACGGCCCACCAAGGCGACGAUCAGUAGGGGUUCUGAGAGGAAGGUCCCCCACAUUGGAACUGAGACACGGUCCAAACUCCUACGGGAGGCAGCAGUGAGGAAUAUUGGUCAAUGAGCGAGAGCCUGAACCAGCCAAGUAGCGUGCAGGAUGACGGCCCUAUGGGUUGUAAACUGCUUUUAGGCGGGGAUAAAGUGAGGGACGUGUCCUUCAUUGCAGGUACCGCAUGAAUAAGGACCGGCUAAUUCCGUG